UGCACAUAUUGAGAAUAAUUUCAUGCUACAAUCUUUUUUUGCCAGUCUGACCUGUCCAGAGGCUUUUUUCAGCUGAAGCCAACAUUUUCUCCCUCCAGCCUCAUCACCUGCUCAUACACCUGACUGGUCAUCCCCAUUCUGCUGCAACAAGAACAGACAGCCCAACCCCUGAGCCAGAUGCACUGGCUGUGCAGAGUAACAGUGACACGCACAGAGCUCCCAGGUCUGAGCCUCAGAAGCCCUUGAAGCUGGAGACAGAAAGCCCCCAUACACCAAGACAAAACCAAAAGUAGCAAAACAUGGUGAGGUGGGACCAUUCCAUUCAAACAGGUGGUCCAACCCAUCAGCCCCAUGUCCCAAUCUCUCGCUGGCAGCAGAAGAGCAGAAGUUUAGAUUCAAGAAAAAUUUAACAAGCAGGACCACACACAGCUACAGGCACAGCAGGAAUGGAGAAGACAGCUAAGGUUUUCCUUUCACAACUGUUCUUUCUAAUUGCUUUUGAAUUAAAAGUCAGUUUCACUCUUACGAACUUAGAAAAUAUACAUUUAGUCCUUUAUGAGAAGAGGGUUCCAUAUACUUCCAUUUGAUUUAUUAAAUCCUUCAUAUUCCAUGCC